GAUGAACGCUAGCGGCAUGCCUAAUACAUGCAAGCCAAGGGCUGUGUGGUGUAGCAAUACAUCGUACUACCGGCGGACGGGGGCGUAGUGCGUAUUCGACAUACUCUAUACAGGACGAUAGCCCUCUGAGACGAGGAUUGAUACUCCAGAAGAUUACUUAGAGGCAUCUUUAACCAAUUAAAGCGGCAAGGCGGUAUAGGCUUGUCGUUGGUCCGAUUAGCUAUUAGGUGAUGUAACGGCUAACCAAGGCGAUGAUCAGUAGUGGUUAUGAGAGGAAGACCCCCCACAAGGGAAAAGAGACACCGGCCCGACUCGUACGGGAGGCAGCAGUAAGUAAUAUUAGAGGAUGAGUGAAAGCCUGAUCCAGCCAUGCCGCGUGCAGGAAGAAGGCCAUAUGGGUUGUAAACUGCUUUUGAGAGGGAGAAAUAAGAGCGAUGCGUCGCUCGAUGAUAGUACUUAACGAAUAAGCAUCGGCUAACUUCGUG
rnacentral:rRNA from 1 species